AAGGGUUCCUGGGCCAGGCCAGUCCGCCCAGGGUGAGUCGGGACCUAAGGCGAGGCCGACAGGCGUAGUCGAUGGACAACGGGUUGAUAUUCCCGUACCCGUGUGUGAGCGUCCCUGAUGAAUCCAUCUUGCUAACCGCCCAAAUGGUGGUCCACCAAUCCCUUCGGGGUGCGGGGAUUACCGGCUGCGCGGGACCCAGGUGGGUAGUAGUCAAGCGAUGGGGUGACGCAGGAAGGUAGCCGUACCAGUCAGUGG
rnacentral:rRNA from 1 species